CCUACGGGACGCAGCAGUGGGGAAUAUUGCACAAUGGGGGAAACCCUGAUGCAGCGACGCCGCGUGAGGGAUGAAGGUCUUCGGAUCGUAAACCUCUGUCAGCCGGGAAGAACGGUCCCUGUGCUAAUCAGCAGUGAAUUGACGGUACCUGCAAAGUAAGCACCGGCUAACUCCGUGCCAGCAGCCGCGGUACUACGGUGGGUGCGAGCGUUAAUCGGAAUUCCUGGGCGUCAAGCGCUCGUAGGCGGUAUGUCAAGUCAAUGG
rnacentral:rRNA from 1 species